GAGGAGCAGGCGCGCAAUUACCCAAUCCUGACUCAGGGAGGUAGUGACAAGAAAUAACAAUAAACCGGCUUAUGCCGGUUUAAUUGGAAUGAGUACAAUUUAAACAUCUUAACGAGGAACAAUUGGAGGGCAAGUCUGGUGCCAGCAGCCGCGGUAAUUCCAGCUCCAAUAGCGUAUACUAAAGUUGUUGCAGUUAAAAAGCUCGUAGUUGGAUUUCUGUGGGGACGGAGCGGCCGGCCGCACAUCGCGGUUCGAGCUAGCGCUUUCCCUACAUCCUGCCGCGAACCGUGCUACCAUUAGUUCGGUGGCGCCGGGGAUCGGCUCGAUUACUUUGAGAAAAAUAGAGUGUUCAAAGCAGGCCACAUGCCUUGAAUAAGUUAGCAUGGAAUAAUAACUAAGGACUUCGGUUCUAUUUUGUUGGUGUUCGGGACUGAAGUAAUGAUUGAUAGGGACAGUUGGGGCGGUCUGUAUUCCAAAGCGAGAGGUGAAAUUCUUAGACCUUCGGAAGACAAACAGCUGCGAAAGCGUUCCGCAAGGAUGUUCCCUUUGAUCAAGAACGAAAGUUGGGGGAUCGAAGACGAUCAGAUACCGUCGUAGUCUCAACUAUAAACUAUACCAGCUAGGGAUCGGCCAACGUUAUUUUAUACCGACUUGGUCGGCACCUUAUGAGAAAUCAAAGCAUCUGGGUUCCGGGGGGAGUAUGGUCGCAAGGCUGAAACUUAAAGGAAUUGACGGAAGGGCACCACCAGCCGUGGAGCCUGUGGCUUAAUUUGACUCAACACGGGAAAACUUACCAGGUCCAGACAUAGUAAGGAUUGACAGAUUGAUAGCUCUUUCUUGAUUCUGUGGGUGGUGGUGCAUGGCCGCUCUUAGUUGGUGGAGUGAUUUGUCUGGUUAAUUCCGUUAACGAACGAGACCCCAGCCUGCUAAAUAGCGCGCGUGAGCUUUGCUCGCGGCGAGCUUCUUAGAGGGACUAUGAUGCGCGAUAGCACAUGGAAGUUUGGGGCAAUAACAGGUCUGUGAUGCCCUUAGAUGUUCUGGGCCGCACACGGGCUACACUGGCGCCUGCAACGAGCAUAUCAGCUGGCCCGAGAGGGUCUUGGCUAAUCUUUUGAACCGGUGCCGUGCUUGGGAUUGACCUUUGCAAUUGUUGGUCAUGCAACGAGGAAUGCCUUGUAAACGCGAGUCAUCAGCUCGCAUUGAAUACGUCCCUGCCCUUUGUACACACCGCCCGUCGCUCCUACCGAUGAAUGUUCCGAUGAAAUUUUCGGAGAGCACCUGUGAACUUGGCUCUGCCUUGCGAACGGGAGGCUCAAAGUCACUAAAAUCUGAACAUUAAG
rnacentral:rRNA from 1 species